rnacentral:rRNA from 1 species
GUGCACCAGGCGCGAAACCUCCGCAAUACACGAAAGUGUGACGGGGCCAUCCCGAGUGCCGUCCGCUGAGGACGGCUUUUCCCCAGUGUACACAGCUGGGGGAAUAAGGAGAGGGCAAGCCUGGUGUCAGCCGCCGCGGUAAUACCAGCUCUCCGAGUGGUGGGGACGCUUAUUGGGCCUAAAGCAUCCGUAGCCGGCUGGGCAAGUCCUCCGUUAAAUCCAACGAUCCAAUCGUUGGGCUGCGGGGGAUACUGUCCAGCUUGGGGCGGGAGAGGCCGACGGUAUUCCCGGGGUAGGGGUGAAAUCCUAUAAUCCCGGGAGGACCACCAGUGGCGAAGGCUGUCGGCUAGAACGCGCCCGACGGUGAGGGAUGAAAGCUGGGGGAGCGAACCGGAUUAGGAUACCCCGUAGU